ACAAAACUAUUACAAUAAUAUAACGUAAUGAAAGUUAUCAAAAUGUGGGCAUUUCUUUAUCAAAAUAUCUUACUGUACUAUGUUCACCUUUCUGUGAUGAUGGGAGGUGAAAAAAUGCCUAUGUGAUGAGACGAAGUGAGGUCACUGAUGUAGGCAUUGUGAUGGAGAGUUCGGUUACUGCGGAUCUUCUGACCAGAAGUCAGAGGGAGGACAAUCAACUUUUGGAAUGUGAUUGACUGUGGAAAGCAAAACUGCAGCUGCCCACCAUUUUAUUAGGCAACCCAUCCUUCAGGAAAAGUCAUCAUUAUCCCCUCUCCCACUGCCAUCCCCUGGGCACAGUGACUCUUCCCCAGUUGAAAGUUAAUGCUCAGCCAAUCAGAGCUAAGGCGGUCAGGACCUGGUGUUCCCCAGACCGCCAUCAUUGCUGCUGACAUAGGGCAGAGGGCCAGGAUGAAUGGACUGAAAGAAGAAAAUUCUGCCUGUUACGUGAGCUACUAAAUUCACUGCAUUCUUUGAGCAAGUAGUGUUGUGUUUGUGUUUCUGUUACAGAAAUGCCACGAAGUUCACUGUGUGAUAAACAGGUGAAAGGUCUAGGUUAUUUGCAACAUACUGGAGAAUACCAAAGCGAAUAAACCUUAUUACAUUUUUCACACGGUUGAAUGCUCAUUGAAAUAAAUUUGGAUUUACAAUCGCCCUCCUCCUCACAGAAAGGAAAGGGUCACAAGAGAGACCUAGAAACCAUGCAAGAUAGUGUACAUCUGUCCAGCACACAAGUCGCAGGAAAGGUAGACACCAUAGGGAGAAGACAUUUUGAAUCAGUGGUAGCUCUUUAGGAACAAACAAAACUCAUACGUUUCUGGUACUUCAUCAGGAGUCACCCAAGGAUUCCAAAGCCAGAGCAAUCCUGAUUUCUAGAACCUCCCAGUGGCCUAAAUCUUUCAAGCCAGCAGACUACUUAGUGACUUGGUGUUUCCAAGCAGUGUGUGAAUCACAUGGAUUUUAAUGGCUUAAAAGAGGAAGUGCUAAUUCCCUGUGGUCUGUAUAUACCAAGCAAUAGAAGUACCUGGAAAUGCUGCUUUCUUGGUUUUGGAUUCAAUUAAGAUUUUUAUCUGGUGCCAGGCACAUCCAUUAUGUGGUGUGUCACUUAAUUUUCAUAACAACCUUGUGAGACACGAGGUGGGUAACAAAGACAAGGAGUUGGAUAUGAAAUGACAAAGGAGCUAAAUGUGCUGGUGCUUGAAGCACAUUAAGACCAGGCUGGUGAGUGGAGGGAGGGUCCUGCGAGUCUCUUGUCUCCCUUGAGAGGGUGAAUGAGGGACCACAGAAGAGGAGACAGCUUAGGAAAGAAGCUAAUAAGCUGUGACUAUUCUGAGUCUGAGGUAACUUUGAAACAUUCAGACAACCUCAGAGGCUCAGAAGAGAGGACUGGACUGGAGACGGGCUUUGGAGUCAUCGGUGCAUGGAUAAUAAUAAAAGCAGCGGAUGUGGAGGGCAACAUCUGAGGAGAGCGUGGACUUCAGGAAAUGCAAGGAAGAAAGAAUAUCAACAAACACCACCAAUCAAGAGGCAGCCGAGAAAGAAGAACACAGGUGAGGCUGACCUUUCCAUCACAGAAGGACAUGGGAGAACCUGGUGACAUGAAAGCUGGGAGAGUCUCAAGGAGAGCAGAGUGGCCAGAGGCAGCAGAUGCCUCAGAAAAGCCCAGAAAGGCCAGAGAAAGGACAUUGGGGUUGAUAAGGAGAGGGCCUCUGCCUCAGAGCAAUCUCAGGGCAAGAUGGAGGCAGCAGACCCGCUGUAGUGGAUUGAGGAGUCAGCAGGAAGAGAGGUACCACGUGAUUAUUCCAGAUAGUUCUUGGACCUUGAUUAAUGCAGGCAUUUGAAGAUCCGGGAGAAAGGGAAUGACCAAGGAAGCAAGGCUCUGGGGAGGUGGAAGGGGUCAGGAUCCAAAUCAGAACAGUUAGAUUCUGAAUAACACGAAGGCGACGCCAUCCCCUGAGAGAAGAGCUAAGAAGAAGUAGAAAAGAGCCCAGGCUUCGGGUGGAGCGAUCAUGCUCAUGCCCGGGGAGAAAACCUCGGUCCCCUACACUUCUGUGCUCCAAUGAACCCUUCUCCACCCGCACCCCAACGCAGAGGGAACAACAUCCUGACGGGAGGUGCUUACCUGAGACUCCACCUGGAUCACAAGCAGCGUCUCCUCUGU